UUUUUUUUUCUCCCAACAUAUUCUGAUGGUGCUAUCUGCCUGGUGGAGCCCCCUCACGCCACAACAGACCUUGUAACUGAUGAAGAGUGCGAGGAGACUUUGUCUGCUGCCUUCACAGAGGGGGAACCAGAAAGGCCUGUAGAGGGCAUGGCUGGGCAGCAGCAGGAGGGUC